rnacentral:misc_RNA from 1 species
UGGACUACAGGGGUUUCUAAUCCUGUUUGCUCCCCACGCUUUCGCGCUUCAGCGUCAGUAUCUGUCCAGUGAGCUGACUUCUCCAUCGGCAUUCCUACAAAUAUCUACGAAUUUCACCUCUACACUUGUAGUUCCGCCCACCUCUCCAGUACUCUAGAAAAACAGUUUCCAACGCAAUACGGAGUUGAGCCCCGCAUUUUAACAUCAGACUUAUUUUUCCGCCUAGACGCGCUUUACGCCCAAUAAAUCCGGAUAACGCUUGCGACAUACGUAUUACCGCGGCUGCUGGCACGUAUUUAGCCGUCGCUUCUUCUGUUGGUACCGUCACUUUCUUCUUCCCAACUGAAAGCACUUUACAAUCCGAAGACCUUCAUCGUGCACACAGAAUUGCUGGAUCAGG